GUGUGUACUCCGGCUGCACAUUUACCAAAACUGGAACAAUACAGAGAUGAUUAAUAUGGCCCCUGUGCAAGGUUGACACACAAAUUCAGGAAGCGUGCCAUAUAAAA
ensembl:snRNA U6 U6 spliceosomal RNA